rnacentral:rRNA from 1 species
UACGUAGGGUGCGAGCGUUGUCCGGAAUUAUUGGGCGUAAAGGGCUCGUAGGCGGUCUGUCGCGUCGGGAGUGAAAACUCAGGGCUUAACCCUGAGCCUGCUUCCGAUACGGGCAGACUAGAGGUAUGCAGGGGAGAACGGAAUUCCUGGUGUAGCGGUGGAAUGCGCAGAUAUCGUAAGGAAGACCAGUGGCGAAGGCGGGUCUCGUGGACAGUUCCUGACACUGAGGCGCGAAAGCCAGGGGAGCAAACGGG